rnacentral:rRNA from 1 species
UACGUAGGGUGCGAGCGUUGUCCGGAUUUAUUGGGCGUAAAGAGCUCGUAGGCGGUUUGUCGCGUCGGCCGUGAAAUCUCCACGCUUAACGUGGAGCGUGCGGUCGAUACGGGCAGACUUGAGUUCGGUAGGGGAGACUGGAAUUCCUGGUGUAGCGGUGAAAUGCGCAGAUAUCAGGAAGAACACCCGUGGCGAAGGCGGUUCUCUGGGACGGUACUGACGCUGAGACGCGAAAGCGUGGGGAGCGAACAGG